UACGUAGGGGGCAAGCGUUGUCCGGAAUCAUUGGGCGUAAAGAGCGUGUAGGCGGUCCGGUAAGUCGGCUGUGAAAGUCCAGGGCUCAACCCUGGGAUGCCGGUCGAUACUGCCGGACUAGAGUCCGGAAGAGGCAAGUGGAAUUCCCGGUGUAGCGGUGAAAUGCGCAGAUAUCAGGAGGAACACCGGUGGCGAAGGCGGAUCUCUGGGCCUUACCUGACGCUGAGGCGCGAAAGCUAGGGGAGCGAACAGG
rnacentral:rRNA from 1 species